rnacentral:rRNA from 1 species
CAGCAGCCGCGGGAAUACGUAGGUGGCAAGCGUUGUCCGGAAUUAUUGGGCGUAAAGGGCUCGCAGGCGGUUUCUUAAGUCUGAUGUGAAAGCCCCCGGCUCAACCGGGGAGGGUCAUUGGAAACUGGGAAACUUGAGUGCAGAAGAGGAGAGUGGAAUUCCACGUGUAGCGGUGAAAUGCGUAGAGAUGUGGAGGAACACCAGUGGCGAAGGCGACUCUCUGGUCUGUAACCGACGCUGAGGAGCGAAAGCGUGGGGAGCGAACAGGAUUAGAUACCCGCGUAGUCCCUGUCUCUUAUAA